rnacentral:rRNA from 1 species
CAGUAGCCGCGGUAAUACGGAGGGAGCUAGCGUUGUUCGGAAUUACUGGGCGUAAAGCGCGCGUAGGCGGUUACUCAAGUCAGAGGUGAAAGCCCGGGGCUCAACCCCGGAACUGCCUUUGAAACUAGGUGACUAGAAUCUUGGAGAGGUCAGUGGAAUUCCGAGUGUAGAGGUGAAAUUCGUAGAUAUUCGGAAGAACACCAGUGGCGAAGGCGACUGACUGGACAAGUAUUGACGCUGAGGUGCGAAAGCGUGGGGAGCAAACAGGAUUAGAGACCCCUGUAGUCCCUGUCUCUUAUAC